GCACAAGCGGAGGAACAUGUGGUUAAUUCGAUGAUACGCGAGGAACCUUACCUGGGCUUAAAUGUAGAGUGCAUUUUUAGAGAUAGAAAUUCCCUUCGGGGCUUUCUGCAAGGUGCUGCAUGGUUGUCGUCAGCUCGUGCCGUGAGGUGUCGGGUUAAGUCCCAUAACGAGCGCAACCCUUAUCGUUAGUUGCCAUCUGGUAAUGCAGGGGACUCUAGCGAAACUGCCACCGUAAGGUGAGAGGAAGUGGGGAUGACGUCAAAUCAGCACGGCCCUUAUGUCCAGGGCUACACACGUGUUACAAUGGUCGGUACAGAGGGCAGCUACCUGGUGACAGGAUGCUAAUCUCGAAAACCGGUCUCAGUUCGGAUCGAAGUCUGCAACUCGACUUCGUGAAGCUGGAUUCGCUAGUAAUCGCGCAUCAGCUAUGGCGCGGUGAAUACGUUCCCGGGCCUU
rnacentral:rRNA from 1 species